rnacentral:rRNA from 1 species
UACGAAGGGUGCAAACGUUGCUCGGAAUUAUUGGGCGUAAAGCGCACGUAGGCGGUUUGUUAAGUCGGAUGUGAAAUCCCUCGGCUCAACUGAGGAAGUGCACCCGAAACUGGCAGGCUUGAGUACUAAAGAGGGUCGCGGAAUUCCCGGUGUAGAGGUGAAAUUCGUAGAUAUCGGGAGGAACACCGGUGGCGAAGGCGGCGACCUGGGUAGAUACGUGACGCUGAGGUGCGAAAGCGUGGGAGCAACA